ACUUGGUGAUGUGGGCAUUUGCGCAAGAGGUCCCUAAAGCGCUCCUAUGUCCCGAAAAAUAAUUCCCUAUCGACUUGUGAGAAACUAGUGAUGGCCUUCCUCAGCU